rnacentral:lncRNA from 1 species
AAGCAUACAACACUCAAGAUAAGGACAGAGUUACCCUCCUUCUUCGCGACCGGAGAAGAUCGGCCUUCAAUCAAUCAGAGAAAACCCUAGGUGCAACCGUCGAAAACUUUACUAGAAAUAUGGUCAGGGAUGUCGUAAAGUCACCCAAAACAUCCACUGAGUGAGGAUUGAGCCACCGGAUAGCAUUUAACCCUAGGUUCAACCACCAGAAACCCUAGAAGCUGAUAAGUCACUGAAAAAUCACCCAAAAAUCAUCGGAAAACCUCUCAGAACGUUCGAGUGAAGAAAAUACACUCAGAUAUCACGAUGAAAAACUCAAAAAGGCAUCCCAUCUAGAUCGGAAUCGUCAUCGACCACAAAGUCUCAGAAAUACCCCCAAAAAUCUCAAAGGAGACUUCAACCAAGACAACGAGAUGCAGAAAAACAUAGUCCGAUCGUCGUCUAGGCACUGAUAC